UAAGCACCGGUUCUCAUCGAUCACCAAAGUUAAGCUGCUUCGAGCUUGGUCAGUACUUAGAUGGAGGACCUUUUGGGAACGACGAGUACUGUA